rnacentral:misc_RNA from 1 species
UAGCAACUUGCAGUCAUAUGAUUUUCUGAUAAAUAGGAAUAUCUGUAUUAGAAUUUAGUAUUGGUGUAGUAUUAGAAAUAGAACUCUGCUAAGUUAUUCGAAUCAACAAUUUAAAUUCGUCUAAAUUAAAAAUUUACUAAAAAAUGCCUUCGAAGAAAGAAGAAAUUGGAAAUUUACUUGAUCUGCUAUACUUAGAAAUGUUGGAUUUGAUAGAACAAUACGCAACGAGCAGAGUGAAUAUAGAAAAAUUAAUGAACAGUGGACAGUUGAUGUUAGCCAAAACACGGUACCUUAAAGGAUCACAAACUAUUAGUUCGGCACAAAUUCCGACCGAGAAUAGUAAUACAUUUAAUGCACUUUGUGUAUUGGAGGAGCAAAAAAAUGACACAAAAAUAUCAAGUGUGGAAUACAGUCUGAUGAGACGUAACGUCGACAAAGAUAAAGAAUUCGUCGAACCGAUGCAUUGGUUCACUUUACUACCACCCAGUAGCUUGCGAACCGCAUCUGAUCACUUCAAAAAAUGUUUAGAAUUAGUAUUGGAAAGCGCGAAUGUACAACGAGAACUUCUUGCAGUAAUGGAUCAUAUUGAUAGACUUAAACAACAUUGCAAAGCAUUAUGAAUUCUACUUCCCCUAAUAACUUACUUAUAAUAACAUCAAAUGAUAAACUAAUCAAAUAUAUUCCUUUAAAUUAGAGUCGAUAACGUGAUUUCUAAACUUCGUCUUUAACCUCAAACACAAUCCUUAAGUUAUCACCAAUACCAGCCUCAAUUACGUCACCAGCUUUUACGGGCAACGCACCGUCUGGCGUGCCGGUGAGAAUAAGAUCGUUUGGUUCAAGCGUCAUAUACUUUGAAGAGUAAGCUAUAAGGUCGUCUACUUUAAAAAUUAGAUCUUCAGUAUUGCCUUGUUGACGUAGCUGUCCAUUCACUUUUAACCAUAGUGAAACUUUAUGGGGAUCUUUGAUGUCGUUCGUAGAUAUAAAUCCCGAAACAGGAGUUGAAGUGUCAAAACCUUUACCUAAGCUCCAUGGAUGACCAUUUUGCCGUGCUAAUGCCAAAUUACAUUGCGCAGUCAUAUCAAGUGCUAGGCAAUAACCACUUAUGUAGUUGAACGCUUCUUCUUUUUUAACAUUCUUACAUUGUUUUCCAAUUAUGACGCCUAACUCAACUUCAUGCGCGACUUUUGUAAACACUUUGGGAAUCUGAAAGAAUAUUUAUAAUACAGAAACAUAUAUUGACAUCACUAAAAAUACAUAUAUUGGACAUACAACAAUUGGAUUGCCUUCGGUUAUGUAGGAUGAUGUUGGUUUAAGGAAUAAAAGUGGUUCUGCUGGCACCGCAACGUUUCGGGAGCGUACAAUAUCC